rnacentral:rRNA from 1 species
AUUGAACGCUGGCGGCAGGCCUAACACAUGCAAGUCGAACGAGUGGCGGACGGGUGAGUAAUGUCUGGGAAACUGCCCGAUGGAGGGGGAUAACUACUGGAAACGGUAGCUAAUACCGCAUACCAUCAGAUGUGCCCAGAUGGGAUUAGCUAGUAGGUGGGGUAACGGCUAACCUAGGCGACGAUCCCUAGCUGGUCUGAGAGGAUGAACAGCCACACUGGAACUGAGACACGUUCCAGACUCUGACGGGAGGCAUCAGUGGGGAAUAUUGCACAAUGGGCGCAAGCCUGAGGCAGCCAUGCCGCGUGUAUGAAGAAGGCCUGCGGGUUGUAAAGUACUUUCAGCGGGGAGGCGUUACCCGCAGAAGAAGCACCGGCUAACUCCGUGCCAGCAGCCGCGGUAAUUC